GACGAACGCUGGCGGCGUGCUUAACACAUGCAAGUCGAGCGAGAAAAGUCUUCGGACUUUUUCUAGCGGCGGACGGGUGAGUAACACGUGGGCAACCUGCCCAUAAGAGGGGAUAACAUCCGGAAACGGGUGCUAAUACCGCAUAGGUUUCUGGUCGCAUGAUCGAGAAAGGAAAGACGGCCUUUGNGCUGUCGCUUAUGGAUGGGACCCGNGGCUAUUAGUUAGUUGGUGAGGUAAUGGCUCACC
rnacentral:rRNA from 1 species